rnacentral:rRNA from 1 species
UACGUAGGUGGCAAGCGUUGUCCGGAUUUACUGGGUGUAAAGGGCGUGUAGGCGGAGCUGCAAGUCAGAUGUGAAAUCCCGGGGCUCAACCCCGGAACUGCAUUUGAAACUGUAGCCCUUGAGUAUCGGAGAGGCAGGCGGAAUUCCUAGUGUAGCGGUGAAAUGCGUAGAUAUUAGGAGGAACACCAGUGGCGAAGGCGGCCUGCUGGACGACAACUGACGCUGAGGCUCGAAAGCGUGGGGAGCGAACAGG